GACGAACGCUGGCGGCGUGCUUAACACAUGCAAGUCGAACGAAGUGGCGAACGGGUGAGUAACGCGUAAUCAACCUGCCCUUCAGAGGGGGACAACAAUUGUAACCGACUGCUACUACCCCAUACUGAGGGCGGGGCUUGCGUCUGUUUAGCUAGUUGGAGGGGUAAAGACCCACCAAGGCGAUGAUCAGUAACGGGUACGAGAGGAUGAACGGCCACAUUGGGACUGAGAAACGGCCAAGACUCCUACGGGAGGCAGCAGUGGGGAAUCUUGCGCAAUGGAGGAAAGUCUGACGGAGCAAAGCAGCGGGAGGGAUGACGGCCUUCGGGUUGUAAAGCUCUGGUAAUCGGGACGAUGUACCGGAAUAGAAAGCAACGGCUAACUACGUGCCAGACGAAGCGGUAAUUC
rnacentral:rRNA from 1 species